ensembl:snRNA U1 U1 spliceosomal RNA
GUACUUACCUGGCAGGGGAGAGACCAUGAUCACGAAGGUGGUUUUCCCAGGGUGAGGCUCAUCCAUCGCUCUCCGGGUGUGCUGACCUCUGCGAUUCCCCCAAACGUGGGAAACUCGACUGCAUAAUUUGUGGCAAUGGGGGACUGCAUUCGUGCUAGA